AUUGAACGCUGGCGGCAGGCUUAACACAUGCAAGUCGAGCGGUAACAGAGAGAAGCCUGCUUCUCUGCUGACGAGCGGCGGACGGGUGAGUAAUGCCUAGGAAUCUGCCUAGUAGUGGGGGAUAACUUGCCGAAAGGUAAGCUAAUACCGCAUACGUCCUACGGGAGAAAGGAGGGGACCUUCGGGCCUUUCGCUAUUAGAUGAGCCUAGGUCGGAUUAGUUAGUUGGUGAGGUAAUGGCUCACCAAGACCGCGAUCCGUAACUGGUCUGAGAGGAUGAUCAGUCACACUGGGACUGAGAAACGGUCCAGACUCCUACGGGAGGCAGCAGUGGGGAAUAUUGGACAAUGGGGGGAACCCUGAUCCAGCCAUGCCGCGUGUGUGAAGAAGGUCUUAGGAUUGUAAAGCACUUUAAGUUGGGAGGAAGAGCAGUUAACUAAUGUUUGACUGUUUUGACGUUACCGACAGAAUAAGCACCGGCUAACUUCGUGCCAGCAGCCGCCGUAA
rnacentral:rRNA from 1 species